UACGGGGGGGGCAAGCGUUGUUCGGAAUUACUGGGCGUAAAGGGCUCGUAGGCGGCCAACUAAGUCAGACGUGAAAUCCCUCGGCUUAACCGGGGAACUGCAUCUGAUACUGGAUGGCUUGAGAUUGUGAGAGGGAUGCGGAAUUCCAGGUGUAGCGGUGAAAUGCGUAGAUAUCUGGAGGAACACCGGUGGCGAAGGCGGCAUCCUGGACCAACACUGACGCUGAGGAGCGAAAGCCAGGGGAGCAAACGGG
rnacentral:rRNA from 1 species